GAUGAAGAACGCAGCGAAAUGCGAUAAGUAAUGUGAAUUGCAGAAUUCAGUGAAUCAUCGAAUCUUUGAACGCACAUUGCGCCCCCUGGUAUUCCGGGGGGCAUGCCUGUUCGAGCGUCAUUUCACCACUCAAGCCUCGCUUGGUAUUGGGCAACGCGGUCCGCCGCGUGCCUCAAAUCGACCGGCUGGGUCUUCUGUCCCCUAAGCGUUGUGGAAACUAUUCGCUAAAGGGUGUUCGGGAGGCUACGCCGUAAAACAACCCCAUUUCUAAGGUUGACAUCGGAUCAGGUAGGGAUACCCGCUGAACUUAAGCAUAUCAAUAAGCGGAGGA
rnacentral:misc_RNA from 1 species